UGAACAGAUGUAGAUUUUAUUCAUCAGUGAAUAGACUCCUCCCUCCCUGUGAGUCUGUCUCCAUCAUUUCCAGCUCUGGUCUCGUUCAGCAAACAGCUGAUUGUUUGUCACUCAUCCUUUUAGAGUCAGAUUCAAACGUGUCUUUUCUGAAAUGAUCUGCCGGCUCAUUUUCUUUAGCCUGCUGGGUUUUUGCCUGAACGUUGAGGUUCAUCAAAGUUCAUCUGAAAUCACAGACGCAAAGAAAAAAGUGCAGAUUUUCUGCAGCUACGACAAGAGUGACUUCAGGGUGAUGCUCUGGUACCGGCAGACGCCCGGACGCACAGACAUGGACCUCAUCGGGUAUUUGAACUACAAGGAACAGAAAAUGGAAGAAAAGUAUGAGAAGACUUUCACCAUCGCUGGAGAUCUGAGUGUGAACACGCUCAAAACCGGAUCUCUGAGCAUCACGGCUGCAGAAACGGGAAACUCUGCCGUUUACUUCUGCGCAGCGAGCAGAGCACGGCGAUGAAAAGAACCUCUGCUGGUGACAAAAACUGUUUAACAUCUCAGGGACUUUGGUCUUCAAGCAGCUGCUUCUGUGGUUGACCUCAGAUUUAAUCGAUGUGCAUCAGAAUCAACUCGUGCUCCUUCUCUCAGCCUCACUUUUCUUUUUCCUUUUAAUGGUGGAAAACAAAAUUCCUAAAACAUAGAAAUAAUUUGAAAAAGGUCAUGCAAAAG